rnacentral:rRNA from 1 species
GAUGAACGCUGGCGGCGUGCCUAAUACAUGCAAGUCGAGCGAACAGACGAGAGUGCUUGCACUCUCUGACGUUAGCGGCGGACGGGUGAGUAACACGUGGGUAACCUACCUAUAAGACUGGGAUAACUUCGGGAAACCGGAGCUAAUACCGGAUAAUAUUUAGCUUCGCAUGAAGCAAUAGUGAAAGACGGUUCUGCUGUCACUUAUAGAUGGACCCGCGGUGUAUUAGCUAGUUGGUGAGGUAACGGCUCACCAAGGCAACGAUACAUAGCCGACCUGAGAGGGUGAUCGGCCACACUGGGACUGAGACACGGACCAGACUCCUACGGGAGGCAGCAGUAGGGAAUCUUCCGCAAUGGACGAAAGUCUGACAGAGCAAUGCCGCGUGAGUGAAGAAGGUUUUCGGAUCGUAAAACUCUGUUGUAAGGGAAGAACAAGUACGUUAGUAACUGAACGUACCUUGACGGUACCUUACCAGAAAGCCACGGCUAACUACGUG